AUUGCGCACAAGCAUCAUCUAUAUAUUAACCUAUAUGAAUCUCCAAUGUUUGUUGCUACGUGGUAAGUUCUUCUUCACCCUCACUAGCAUAUGACUCUUCUUCUUUCUUUGACUAAACUUUCAAUAUACAUUUUAACGGUUCCGCUAACCAAACUUUUAAUUAAUGUGUUUAAAUGGUCCCAUUAUAUUUUCAAUUAACACAAACGAUUCUACUAUCAAAUUUUUAAUUAGUAUAUUUAAAUGGUCCCACUACCAUCUACAAUCCUAACCUCUCUAUCUCCAAUUAUUCAUUAUGGUCCUUUUCCUUCUCUCCACCGGACUUUUAAUUUUUUAUCUCCAAUCUAUUUAUCAAUUCUCUAUUUUUCAUCUUUUGCUAUACACCAUCGCUUCCUUCCCUCGCUUCCUCCCUCUUUCUCACUAAUGCACGCCCACUUUCUCUUUCCGCUGUAACCUUUAGUGGAUAUACCAAGUGGGAUACACAAAAUAAUGUUUAAUUACUAUUAUGGUUUCUACAUGCUGUAAAUUACUAAUAGUAUAAGAUGUACAUAUUCUUUUGUCUACUGAUAUUAAAAAAAUGACACGAGCAAUACUACUUAUACACUCAAAAAUAAUAUGUACAUCUUAUACUUAUUUUUAUCUAAAAAAUUAUUAUUAUUUUUUUACGUGCUAACUCGGAUAACAAUAAUUGCACUACAUUAAAAAAGAGUUAAUUGCAUAUAGAUCCUUGCAAAUAUAGUAAAUUACAAAUAUAUUCCUACAAAGUUUAAUUUUUAUAUUUGUUCCUGCAAAAGUCCUAAUAUUUUAAAAUAUAUCCCUAUCUUUAGAAUCGGUUAAAAAAAUUUAGCUAAUAAUAGAUUAAAUACUUAACUCUGAUUAGUUUAUGAGAUAACUCGAUAUUUUUACCCCCAUUAUAUUAUACUGUUGUAGUUUUUAAAGAAAUAUAUUUGUGAUGGUAAAAUUAACAUUUUAUUUAUUUGCUGUUAAAAUAUAAACAGUUUUCUAAAAAUAACAAAUCAGAAAAAUAUAUUUAAAAAUAUUAAAACUUUUAAAAAAUAACAUAUACAAAUUAAAUUUUAUAAAAACAUAUUUGUAAUUUAUUA
rnacentral:lncRNA from 1 species